AACGAACGCUGGCGGCAUGCCUAACACAUGCAAGUCGAACGAGACCUUCGGGUCUAGUGGCGCACGGGUGCGUAACGCGUGGGAACCUGCCCUUAGGUUCGGGAUAACUCCCCGACAGGGGUGCUAAUACCGGAUAAUUUCUUCGGACCAAAGAUUUAUCGCCUUUGGAUGGGCCCGCGUUGUAUUAGCUAGUUGGUAGGGUAAAAGCCUACCACGGCGACGAUCCAUAGCUGGUCUGAGAGGCUGAUCAGCCACACUGGGACUGAGACACGGCCCAGACUCCUACGGGAGGCAGCAGAGGGGAAUAUUGGACAAUGGGCGAAAGCAUGAUCCAGCAAGGCCGCGUGAGUGAUGAAGGCGUUAGGGUUGUAAAGCUCUUUUACCCGGGAUGAUAAUGACAGUACCGGGAGAAUAAGCACCGGCUAACUCCGUG
rnacentral:rRNA from 1 species